UACAGAGGUCUCAAGCGUUGUUCGGAUUCAUUGGGCGUAAAGGGUGUGUAGGUGGCGCCGUAAGUCGGGUGUGAAAUUUCGGAGCUUAACUCCGAAACUGCAUUCGAUACUGCGGUGCUUGAGGACUGGAGAGGAGACGUGGAAUUUACGGUGUAGCGGUGAAAUGCGUAGAUAUCAGGAGGAACACCGGUGGCGAAGGCGGGUCUCUGGGCCGAUAUUGACGCUGGAGGAGCGAAAGCGUGGGGAGCGAACAGG
rnacentral:rRNA from 1 species